rnacentral:lncRNA from 1 species
AAAGGACUCCUGAAGUCCGACCGGACUGGGCGGUGGGGGAUGGGAGAGGUGCCAUGGACCCAAAACAGAAAGAACUGAGGUGGAUCCUUAAGAAUUUCCAGACUGAAAGAGCAAGAGUAGCAAUCUUCUCCAUGUGGCUGACAAAAAGAUGCAACGGUCAGAGUUAAUGGCCCAGUUUCUUACCAAGUAGAAUAGGUGAACCUGCAGAGAGUGAGACCAAGACCACUCAGAGAGAUGCAGAUUUGGGAUAAAGGAGGCUCCAGACUGGUCCUGUGACUCCAGACACUCCAGACACCUUCCCUUCCUCAACUCUGGGACUCACAAACUCUCUGCAACCUCGGACACAAUCCAGGGUUCUCCAAUAGCCUUCUCUCUUUGGCAUCCAGCCCCUUGCUACCAAAAGCACCACCCUAUGUUUGCAGCCAGAACAAGUUGGGAAACUGUCCUUGGUCACUCCUUUGCCCAAGGACAAAUGCUGGCUCGUGUGCAUCACUGCUGGCUGACUCCAGGUCAUCUGCUGUCUCUCAGCUCCCCAGGCUGCAGUACCCUGCAAUGGCCCUUCCUUUCUGGCUGGACUCUUCCACUCCUCCACCAACAGCACCCACUGAGAUCCUUGGCAGCCCUUUCUUCUCAGCUCAUAUCCAGGGGGUGACCACAGUCAGUACAUGUACAUGCCUCUGACACAGAAUGCUCACCACACAGCAUUCUGGCUGCUUCUGCAUAUUGUUCACCCCACUGGAUUGGGGAAUUGAAGAUCCUAUUUAUUUUUUUGGUCAGUGUUUUGCACAUUGUGUAGGCUCAAUAAAUACAUGUCAACAGG